CGUCAAAGUCCCAGCUUUCAAAUACAGAGCCCCCAGAACCUGAAAUCCAAGUCCCAGCCCAUAAGGGUUCCGUGAACACGCUCAUGUGCUUGUUCUUACUAGACAAAGAUGUGAUUGCAAGAACAAGACCCCUGCCCUGGGAAACUCAACACUGGACAUCUCAAGCUCUUCCUACUCCUGAACAUGCCAUGGAACCACAACUGGUGAUGGAGCCAAAAGCCGUGAACAGUGGGACAUUUGAAACCCCUCAGCAAGCAUGCUUGCUAACAUGAUUUCCAGGGAAGUGUUA
ensembl:lncRNA novel transcript